AAGACUUACUUUCAGGGGUCAUUUUUAUAGUUUGUUACUAGAGAAGUUUCUUUGAGCAUGCAUAGCUCUGGACACCAUGAGGAGAAGGCACAGUGUUCUCUCCUGAGCAUAAAACUGGCUCUUGGUGUUGCUUUGCUGCAAAUUUGCCAUUAAUGAUCAUUCUUCUUUUCCAUCACGAGAGUAAGAGGGAGAGGACAUAGUCUAAGUGGU
rnacentral:snoRNA from 1 species